rnacentral:rRNA from 1 species
ACCCCUCGAGAGUGGCGAACGGGUGAGUAAUAUAUCGGAACGUGCCCAGUCGUGGGGGAUAACGUAGCGAAAGUUACGCUAAUACCGCAUACGAUCUACGGAUGAAAGCGGGGGACCGCAAGGCCUCGCGCGAUUGGAGCGGCCGAUAUCAGAUUAGGUAGUUGGUGGGGUAAAGGCUCACCAAGCCAACGAUCUGUAGCUGGUCUGAGAGGACGACCAGCCACACUGGAACUGAGACACGGUCCAGACUCCUACGGGAGGCAGCAGUGGGGAAUUUUGGACAAUGGACGCAAGUCUGAUCCAGCCAUUCCGCGUGCAGGAUGAAGGCCCUCGGGUUGUAAACUGCUUUUGUACGGAACGAAAAGGUCUCUCUUAAUACGAGGGGCUCAUGACGGUACCGUAAGAAUAAGCACCGGCUAACUACGUGCCAGCAGCCGCGGUAAUACGUAGGGUGCAAGCGUUAAUCGGAAUUACUGGGCGUAAAGCGUGCGCAGGCGGUUAUGUAAGACAGAGGUGAAAUCCCCGGGCUCAACCUGGGAACUGCCUUUGUGACUGCAUAGCUAGAGUACGGUAGAGGGGGAUGGAAUUCCGCGUGUAGCAGUGAAAUGCGUAGAUAUGCGGAGGAACACCGAUGGCGAAGGCAAUCCCCUGGACCUGUACUGACGCUCAUGCACGAAAGCGUGGGGAGCAAACAGGAUUA